AGUGAACGCUGGCGGUAGGCCUAACACAUGCAAGUCGAACGGCAGCACAGUAAGAGCUUGCUCUUACGGGUGGCGAGUGGCGGACGGGUGAGGAAUACAUCGGAAUCUACUUUUUCGUGGGGGAUAGCGUAGGGAAACUUACGCUAAUACCGCAUACGGCCUACGGGUGAAAGCAGGGGAUCUUCGGACCUUGCGCGAUUGAAUGAGCCGAUGUCGGAUUAGCUAGUUGGCGGGGUAAAGGCCCACCAAGGCGACGAUCCGUAGCUGGUCUGAGAGGAUGAUCAGCCACACUGGAACUGAGACACGGUCCAGACUCCUACGGGAGGCAGCAGUGGGGAAUAUUGGACAAUGGGCGCAAGCCUGAUCCAGCCAUACCGCGUGGGUGAAGAAGGCCUUCGGGUUGUAAAGCCCUUUUGUUGGGAAAGAAAAGCAGCAGGUUAAUACCCCGCUGUUCUGACGGUACCCAAAGAAUAAGCACCGGCUAACUUCGUG
rnacentral:rRNA from 1 species